rnacentral:rRNA from 1 species
UACAGAGACUGCAAGCGUUAUUCGGAUUCACUGGGCGUAAAGGGUGCGCAGGCGGCCAUAUGUGUGAGGCGUGAAAGCCCGGGGCUUAACCCCGGAAUUGCACCUCAAACUAUAUGGCUAGAGCAUUGGAGAGGGUAGCGGAAUUCACGGUGUAGCAGUGAAAUGCGUAGAUAUCGUUUGGAACGCCAAUGGUGAAAACAGGUUGCUGGGAGUGUGCUGACGCUGAGACACGAAAGCCAGGGGAGCGAACGGG